CCAGCACCUGCGGUAAUUCCAGCCCCAAUAGCGUAUAUUUAAGUUGUUGCAGUUAAAAAGCUCGUAGUUGGAUUUCGGGUGGGGUGGUGCGGUCCGCCUCUGGUGUGCACUGCUCCGCUCCACCUUCCUGCCGGGGACGGGCUCCUGGGCUUCACUGUCCGGGACUCGGAGUCGGCGAGGUUACUUUGAGUAAAUUAGAGUGUUCAAAGCAGGCCUACGCUCUGAAUACAUUAGCAUGGAAUAACACGAUAGGACUCUGGCCUAUCUGUUGGUCUGUGGGACCGAAGUAAUGAUUAACAGGGACAGUCGGGGGCAUUCGUACUCAACAGUCAGAGGUGAAAUUCUUGGAUUUGUUGGAGACGAACUACUGCGAAAGCAUUUGCCAAGGAUGUUUUCAUUGAUCAAGAACGAAAGU
rnacentral:rRNA from 1 species